rnacentral:rRNA from 1 species
AGGACGAACGCUGGCGGCGUGCUUAACACAUGCAAGUCGAGCGGUAAGGCCCUUUCGGGGGUACACGAGCGGCGAACGGGUGAGUAACACGUGGGUGACCUGCCCUCAGCUCUGGGAUAAGCCCGGGAAACUGGGUCUAAUACCGGAUAUGACCACAUGUCGCAUGGUGUGUGGUGGAAAGUUUUUCGGCUGGGGAUGGGCCCGCGGCCUAUCAGCUUGUUGGUGGGGUGAUGGCCUACCAAGGCGACGACGGGUAGCCGGCCUGAGAGGGCGACGGGCCAACGACUGGGACUAGGAGACACGGCCCAGACUCCUACGGGAGGCAGCAGUGGGGAAUAUUGCGCAAUGGGCGGAAGCCUGACGCAGCGACGCCGCGUGGGGGAUGACGGCCUCGGUUGUAAACCUCUUUCGACCUUGACGAACGCCGUUCCGGUGUACCGGUAGGGUAGAAGAAGACGACCGGCCAACUACGUCGCCAGCAGCCGC